rnacentral:rRNA from 1 species
GAUGAACGCUGGCGGCGUGCUUAACACAUGCAAGUCGAACGGGAUCCAAGGGGUGCUUGCACUUUUUGGUGAGAGUGGCGAACGGGUGAGUAACACGUGAGUAACCUGUCCUUUUCUUUGGGAUAAGCAUUCGAAAGGGUGUUUAAUACCUUAUGUUCUGUCUGCCUCGCAUGGGGUGGGUGGGAAAGGCUUUGGCCGGAUUUGGGUGGGCUCGCGGUCUAUCAGCUUGUUGGUGGGGUGAUGGCUUACCAAGGCUUUGACGGGUAGCCGGCCUGAGAGGGUGGUCGGUCACAUUGGGACUCAGAUACGGACCAGACUCCUGCGGGAGGCAGCAGUGGGGGAUAUUGCACAAUGGGCGAAAGCCUGAUGCAGCGACGCCGCGUGGGGGAUGAAGGCCUUCGGGUUGUAAACUUCUUUUGCUCUGAACGAGGCAUGCCAGUGGGUGUGUUGAGUGUAGGGGUUGAUUAGCGCCGGCUAACUACGUG